AAGUCGAACGCACAGCGAAAGGUGCUUGCACCUUUCAAGUGAGUGGCGAACGGGUGAGUAACACGUGGACAACCUGCCUCAAGGCUGGGGAUAACAUUUGGAAACAGAUGCUAAUACCGAAUAAAACUUAGUGUCGCAUGACACAAAGUUAAAAGGCGCUUCGGCGUCACCUAGAGAUGGAUCCGCGGUGCAUUAGUUAGUUGGUGGGGUAAAGGCCUACCAAGACAAUGAUGCAUAGCCGAGUUGAGAGACUGAUCGGCCACAUUGGGACUGAGACACGGCCCAAACUCCUACGGGAGGCUGCAGUAGGGAAUCUUCCACAAUGGGCGAAAGCCUGAUGGAGCAACGCCGCGUGUGUGAUGAAGGCUUUCGGGUCGUAAAGCACUGUUGUAUGGGAAGAACAGCUAGAAUAGGAAAUGAUUUUAGUUUGACGGUACCAUACCAGAAAGGGACGGCUAAAUACGUGCCAGCAGCCGCGGUAAUACGUAUGUCCCGAGCGUUAUCCGGAUUUAUUGGGCGUAAAGCGAGCGCAGACGGUUUAUUAAGUCUGAUGUGAAAGCCCGGAGCUCAACUCCGGAAUGGCAUUGGAAACUGGUUAACUUGAGUGCAGUAGAGGUAAGUGGAACUCCAUGUGUAGCGGUGGAAUGCGUAGAUAUAUGGAAGAACACCAGUGGCGAAGGCGGCUUACUGGACUGCAACUGACGUUGAGGCUCGAAAGUGUGGGUAGCAAACAGGAUUAGAUACCCUGGUAGUCCACACCGUAAACGAUGAACACUANGUGUUAGGAGGUUUCCGCCUCUUAGUGCCGAAGCUAACGCAUUAAGUGUUCCGCCUGGGGAGUACGACCGCAAGGUUGAAACUCAAAGGAAUUGACGGGACCC
rnacentral:rRNA from 2 species